rnacentral:rRNA from 1 species
CAGUAGCCGCGGUAAUACGGAGGGGGCUAGCGUUGUUCGGAAUUACUGGGCGUAAAGCGCACGUAGGCGGCUUGGUAAGUUAGAGGUGAAAGCCCGGAGCUCAACUCCGGAAUUGCCUUUAAGACUGCCGAGCUAGCAGGUGAGAGAGGUAAGUGGAAUUCCGAGUGUAGAGGUGAAAUUCGUAGAUAUUCGGAAGAACACCAGUGGCGAAGGCGGCUUACUGGCUCAUACUGGACGCUGAGGUGCGAAAGCGUGGGGAGCAAACAGGAUUAGAUACCCGGGUAGUCACUGUCUCUUAUAC